AUCAACUGCUAGCAAUCCCACGUCCAUCCAUCCAUUCAUCAAUCUGAAGAAAAGUAGAAAAAAAACUAGCAGACCCACUCCCCAUCCCCUCGUCGCCUCCUUCCCUCCAGAUCGCCGCCGCCACCUCCCUCCCCAUCCGCUUGCCGCACCCGCCGCGGGUCCCACCCUCCCCGAACCAGCGCACAUUGCCGUUUGCUCCUCCACCUGCAGGCGAUGCCGAGCCCGCGGUCUCCCUCCCAAAGAUCGCUCCGGAGCCCGCUGUCCUCCUCCACCUACAGCAGGAGCAUGCAGGAGCAGCAGCGAGCCAGAUCCGGGCCUUGUCUAGGAGGUAGGCUUCUCCAAGCACGGGAGCAGACAUGGUGGCCAUGACGGGCAAAUCAGAGAGAAGCCGGCGCGACGGCUGGGAGACUGUCCGGACUGGAUCCCGCCAUCACCACAAGUCACCGCCUUGUCCGUGCACCAAACUGGCUGGAGCUUAUGGGAAUUCUGCUAUAUCCUUAACAAGUCAGGAAAAGUUAAAGAGAAAUUCUCCGGUAGCCUUGAGUUAAUUCCAGGUAAUCACUUUUAUUUAUAUUGUAUUCCAGGUAAUCACUUUUAUAUUCCAGGUAACAGGAGCAUAUGCAUGUUUCAUGGAUGCUCUUAUUGAUUUUCUAUUUCCUGCGAGGUCGAGAAAUCAAUUGCUGGAGAGUGUCGUUUUAUUCUACCGAUAAAUACACAUCUACACUCUCUAUCAAUUCAAGAAUUAGCUGUGUAUAUUUAUAUAUGGAUAAGCAUCAAAUGCAAAUUUUGUAUCCUUACUUUCAUGAUUCAUGUUUUCCAACAAAACUUUCUUGAUUCUUUAGAAUAAAUAUAUAUGAUAUUUCAAAAAAAUAGUACAGCACAAUAGCACACUAGUGUUGCUUCCUUUUUUAUAUCUGCCUCAUUGACUGUGUGACAGGAAAAUGACGCACCAAUCAAGGUUGGUUAGAGCAUGUCUGCAAAAUCGUCAGUGUAGUAUUUCAUACAUGUAACAUAAAUUGGAUCAUUCAUGUGUGUGAAAAGAACGCGUGUGUUGUGCUAUAGUACGCACAUGCGCAUGUUGUAGGAAAAUUCUCUCCUUUUGUUCUACUUGCGAUCCAUCCUUCUUCUCUGGCCAAAGCAUCUGCUCUCCCACCAUUCUCUUCUAUCCCCCUCUCUCACCCCAUGCAGCCUAAUAUUCUGCAUGUGCGUCCAUCCGUCCUCCCAGCUUGCAGCAAGGCCCGUUGGAGAGAUCUACAUUUUUUAGCUUCUUCAAACUCUUUUUAUAAGGAGCUUCUUCAUUCUUUAAUAUGGUUGUUUGUCAAAAAAUGGCUGCCAAGGGUAUAUAAAUGGCGAUGUAGCAUACAAUAAAUAAAAAUAUUCUUUCAAAUAUAUUACCUUUCGUAUGAAAUAUUGGAGUUGCCAUUCGGACUAGAAAACUUCAAGCGUACAUGAUACUAGCUAAUUCUACCCUUGAUGUGAUCAUAUAAUUUUUUGUUAUAUGUCCGUCAAUCAUCAACUAUCAUUUUUUCAUCCAUUUUGGAUAAAACCCACAGAUGAACCAUCAUGGACUGACAACUUAAGGAAUGAAUCGUUACCUGGAAUUAGCACCCCCGAAGACCAGACUCGAUGGGGGUAAGAUUGGUAUGUCGCACGUGCCUCAUAAUUGCUUUUCUGAAUCAGAAGUGGAUGUUUUAGAAUAUAAUUUGCUCAGUGUAGUUGAUGGUCUAAUCUCUUAUGAACUUAUUUGUUCUAUAGUGGCUCCAACCGGUGGAUUCAAGAAAUAUAUGCUACUUAAGUUUUGUGUAAGUUUGUAUUUUAGAGUAAAGGUUUGGAUAAUUGUAGAAAAUUUGACGUCUUGUGUACCUUAUUACUUUCAUAGUUAUAACUCCAAGAGCUAUACAUUUUCCAUGAAAAAACAUAGGUUGCAUUGUGUUUGUGAUGUUAUGACGUACCACCUUGCAGCGAUUCCACAUGGAUAAUACGGAAGAGCAUGCACCUAGAAACAAUGUGUUCGUAUUCUUCCGAAAAUGCUAGCAACUAAAUGCGUCAUCUGUAUAUAGCUGGUUGGCAAAAUGACAUGACCAUAUGUACAUCAUGUUGCCUUCUCUUCCUUCAUUUGUUAUGACAUAUAUUUGAGAAUGAAGUGUGCAGUUCAGUUUGUGGUUGUUAGUAAACAUCUAAAAUAUUAUAUGUUCACGCAAUUGUAUUUUGUUUCGAAACAUUACCAAAUGUAUGAUUUCAUUUCUCUACAGAAUACAUUUAUAUAUUUAAUAUACUUAGGAGUGUUAACGAAUGGAGGAACUUUGCUUCUUCAAAAGUCUAUGCAAAUAACUAUGUUACAUUUUGAUUUCUACAUGACCUUUUGGGAUAUAUGCCAAAGAAACUAUCAUUAUUGUCCGGGAUAAUAAAAACAGUACUAUGAUGGCAUUCAGUUAAUUCAAAUGUUAUAUGGGUACAUGGUUACACGAACAAAUUGUCCUGCUUACAUAAUAAUACACUUUCAAGAACUUGAUACAAAUUAUAUUAAUUUGUAGUUAGUUCUUUUUAUAAAUAAAAAAGAUUGCAAUUCAAGUUGUUCUAAUAAGUUAUCAUCUAAAUACUAGCCCGUGCGUCAGACGACUAGUUCUUUUAAUUUGGAAGUGUUCUCUUUGUUUGUGACGGUAGAUUUAAUCUCUUUCUUGUGUGUCUUAUUUCUUUAAUAAUAAGACAUGUACUUUUAGUUUAAUGAAAGGGAGACCAAAGGGAGCACGUUUGUGACAGUCGGUUUAAUCUCUUGCGUAUGUGGUGUUUUUUUUCUUCUAGGACGUGGUGAUUAUAGUCUAACGAAAGGGAGACCAAAGGGAGCACGUCUCCUCUAGAUUCUUUUUUUUCAUUUCAUAAGCAUAGAAGGAAAUACCAACGGGGUAGACGUUUCAUGUUUCGUCCUAUGGCUACAAAACAAUUACAUAUUAGUUGGACGGUUGGAAUUUUUUUACUUUCUAGGUUUAACAUGCAGUCGGUAUCAUUUUUUCUUGCACGCGGCAAUGGCAAGAGCAUAUUGUGGAGAGGAAGAGGAUCAGAAGAAACUUGUGGUUCUCAUCCAAUCUUUGUGGAACUCUCUUUAUGUGCAAUUGUGCACUUGUUGGGUCCUUUUUCUGUGUAUUUGCACUUGCAGAAGUAUUCUGUUGUGCACAUGUAAAAUUAUUUUGACGUGCCCUUGUUAGGCGUUGAACCUUAAUGCAUGGAGUCGUUGGAUGAUGUAUUCUAUAUGAUGUGGUAUGCUACUGAAAUAAAAUAUACAUUUUAUUUGCAA